GAUGAACGCUGGCGGCGUGCCUAAUACAUGCAAGUCGAGCGAACGGACGAGAAGCUUGCUUCUCUGAUGUUAGCGGCGGAAGGGUGAGUAAAACGUGGAUAACCUACCUAUAAGACUGGGAUAACUUCGGGAAACCGGAGCUAAUACCGGAUGAUAUUUUGAACCGCAUGGUUCAAAAGUGAAAGACGGUCUUGCUGUCACUUAUAGAUGGAUCCGCGCUGCAUUAGCUAGUUGGUAAGGUAACGGCUUACCAAGGCAACGAUGCAUAGCCGACCUGAGAGGGUGAUCGGCCACACUGGAACUGAGACACGGUCCAGACUCCUACGGGAGGCAGCAGUAGGGAAUCUUCCGCAAUGGGCGAAAGCCUGACGGAGCAACGCCGCGUGAGUGAUGAAGGUCUUCGGAUCGUAAAACUCUGUUAUUAGGGAAGAACAUAUGUGUAAGUAACUGUGCACAUCUUGACGGUACCUAAUCAGAAAGCCACGGCUAACUACGUG
rnacentral:rRNA from 1 species